rnacentral:rRNA from 1 species
UACGUAGGGUGCGAGCGUUAAUCGGAAUUACUGGGCGUAAAGCGUGCGCAGGCGGUGAUGUAAGACCGAUGUGAAAUCCCCGGGCUUAACCUGGGAACUGCAUUGGUGACUGCAUUGCUGGAGUAUGGCAGAGGGGGGUGGAAUUCCACGUGUAGCAGUGAAAUGCGUAGAGAUGUGGAGGAACACCGAUGGCGAAGGCAGCCCCCUGGGCCAACUACUGACGCUCAUGCACGAAAGCGUGGGGAGCAAACAGG